rnacentral:misc_RNA from 1 species
GUUUAAUUAUUUAAAAAAUAAUGACAUUCAGAGACUAGUGGUUUGUAUAAAAGGGCGGCACGCGACGUAAAGUCACGACCGAAAUGUGCACAGGUUGUGAGAAUCAAUAUGGCGUGCGACCCCCCGAGAGGGGUGCACAGCCAAAGAGAUGGAGGCGUGAGCCUCGUUCGUUAAUGAUCCUUCCGCAGGUUCACCUACGGAAA